GCGUUUAUUUCCAAUGCCGACUUCCAAAGAUAAUGUAAU
rnacentral:sRNA from 1 species